rnacentral:rRNA from 1 species
CUACGGGAGGCAGCAGUGGGGAAUCUUGCGCAAUGGGCGAAAGCCUGACGCAGCAACGCCGCGUGGAGGAUGAAGGCCCUUGGGUUGUAAACUCCUGUCGGCUGGGAAGAAAUCGUUCGGAGCUAAUACCUCCGGACGUUGACUGUACCAGCAAAGGAAGCCCCGGCUAACUCUGUGCCAGCAGCCGCGGUAAUACAGAGGGGGCCAGCGUUAUUCGGAAUUAUUGGGCGUAAAGGGCGCGUAGGCGGCCACGCGUGUCUUUCGUGAAAUCCCUCGGCUUAACUGAGGACGUGCGGAAGAAACUGCGAGGCUCGAGUCCGGGAGAGGGGGGUGGAAUUCCCAGUGUAGCGGUGAAAUGCGUAGAUAUUGGGAGGAACACCGGUGGCGAAGGCGGCCCCCUGGACCGGUACUGACGCUGAGGCGCGAAAGCGUGGGGAGCAAACGGGAUUAGAUACCCUGGU